GGGGAAUCUUGGACAAUGGGCGAAAGCCUGAUCCGGCAAUAUGGCGUGAGUGAAGAAGGGCAACGCAGCUUGUAAAGCUCUUUCACCGAGUGUGCGAUUGUGACAAGACUCGAAUAAGAAGCCCCGGCUAACUCCGUGCCAGCAGCCGCGGUAAGACGGGGGGGGCUAGUGUUAUUCGGAAUGACUAGGCGUAAAGGGCACGUAGGCGGUGAAUCCGGUUGAAAGUGAAAGUCGCCAGCUCAGCUGGCGGAAUGCUUUCAAAACCAAUUCACUUGAGUAAGAUAGAGGAUAGUGGAAUUUCGUGUGUAGAGAUAAAAUUCACAGAUAUACGAAGGAACACCAAAAGCGAAGGCAGCUUUCUGGGUCUCUACUGACGCUGAGGUGCGAAAGCAUAGGGAGCAAAC
rnacentral:rRNA from 1 species